CACCUCCUGGCAGUGGUAUGAGGGUUGCAUGAGAUCACACCUGGAAAGCACCCUAGCAUGAAGCCUGACACACUGCUGUUGUGGGUGAAGACUCAUGGAGCAUUCAUCAUAUGCCAAGCUUUGCACUUACUUGAAUUUGCAUAUGUGAUAUCCUUCAGCUCAGUGUGCUCAGAGAAGUAGAUCAGAAGUACAUUCACCUAAAGACUUCAACAGCCAUGGCCAUAUGCUGAAUGGAUGCCUACCAGGGUCUCAGCAAGAGGUGGGACCAAGGAAAGGAGGUCAGCAUAGCACAAUCCUGGGAAGUGGAAACCCAGGUUAGAACCUGCUGGGAAUCAAUAGCCCUUUGAUCACAGGCACAAAUACUGAGGCAUCUGGCACAUGACACAAAGUCAAGAGCAAAUGAGUGUUCAAAGAGCAAAUGUGCAUCCUUGUUCAGGAGCCAAAUGUGUCUGUGGACACUAGUUCUGCCAUGGCAGGAGAGGUUGAGUGAACAGGAUGGACCUCGAGCCCUGCGUGUAGACUGAAUCAGAGGCUUCCAGGGGUUCUCAACUGAGUUUGCAGAGCAAGAGAAGCUGGAGGAGCCUGGACGUCUUCUGAGCCACAUUCCUGAGGUGCACACAGCCACAUUCUAGAUCAAGCUGCACAGACAGAUCGGUACUAGGUAAUUCUAAUUCUACCUAGGAAACCUUAGUAAAAUGAAAAAUUCAAGUUUAUUGAGAAAUAUGCUCCAUUCAAGAAAAGUCCUACGAAGAUUCUAAUCCUUACCCAUUGGUAACCUUGGGUGAGUCUCUUCCCCUAUACCCUGCCAGUACAGAUUGCUGGACCAGGCAUGGCAGUGUGGGGGAUGUUCUCUCCUCUUCAGUGGCCUCCCUUACCCAAGGUGCAGUCCCCAGUCACUGUGAUGACGUCACCAUCACACCUGGUGAAUGGGUGAUGCUCUGGACAAGGAUUGCUCAUUGGUGACUCAGAGGCUGACUCAGCUGCCAGAGGAGGGCUGUGAAGGAGGGGGCAGAGGUCCAAUGGGCUGGGCUCCCCCAGCUGCACUGUUUUCUACGCUACAUGUUGGGGACUAGCCAAGAUGUUACUUGAACAAAGAUUUUGAAGGAUCAAAGAAGAAUUUGAAAACCACUGAGACAAGGCUUCCGGAAGACUAUCCAAAGGCUGCAAAAAUGUAAGAAGCUAUUCCAUUCAUUUCUGAGAUAUGUUGAGAGUACUAUAAAUCAUUAAAGAGUUUUUUCAGGGACAAUAAUGAACAAAUUCUCAGCUUUAUGACACCAGUCAACUCUGAAAGGAUUAAAGGUCAAAGGGCACCAAAAGAUGACCCCUGACAUGGGCUGAAAUUGUGCCAGGGUGCCACAAUGAACUCAAAAGUACUAGGAUAUUUGAGGAAGAUUGCCUUCUUGUGCUGAGAUUCUGGCCUCUGGAAAAAUCAACAGAAUCUUCUCUGCCAGACUCUAGCCGAUGUGGUAAGCUGGCCACAGAUGACUUGGGACAAAGUGACCUGGAACCUGGUUACUCACCAGAGGCUCCAAGGACCACUGUAUAAGCCAGCUGGGCAGGGCAGCCCUUGCCUGCACCGUGCUCUGUCACACCAUCUCCAAUCUCAGGGAGUGGUACUCCACUCUCUUUGUUAGUCCAGACAGCCAGUGCCAUCCUCUGCUUUUCCCUCCCCUCAAGGAUGGAAGAAUCCAGAGCCCGCAUCUGAGUAUAUGCACCGAACUCUGCAAACUGGCUUAAUGAGUCACUCUCAAAACUCAAUCCAGAGAGUCCCCAAGAAAUCCGUGGGGUUUUUGCAAUAUUCAUGCAGAGACAUUCAUCUCUUCUGAUCUCUUGCCAUGGAGUAAUCUAUUAGUAUUUCAUAAUUAAACAGCAACAAACAGCAUCCUAGUAUUAACCAAAGCAAAUCUGUUCUUCCAAGCAUUUCUAAUGUAUGCUUUUUGAAGAUGAAUUACUCAAGGGUGUUAUCCAAAGUAGACUGGUCCACCACAGGAUCUACAGUAAAUAAACUUAAACGUUCAGAUUAGACAGGAACAUUUGAAAGUGUUUGACCAGUACUAACUUGGCAGGUGAUGUGCUGCAUAGUUUUCUGGAACUCUCUUUAACACAAAGUUCUCCUACAGUGACUCUGGCCACACCCACACCAGUUACCAAAGGGUAGAAAAAUAUAUAGUAUGUUGCCCAAGUGCAGAUUCAGGUUCAGGAACAAAACAUGCAUAGACAUGCCUCUGAAAGAUGGAAAAAUCCUAUCAUCAAUGAAUCCUGACACUAGAUAAAGAAACAAUAGUCUCUCCUGUCUCCUGGGAUAAGGGUCCUUUGGAAAUAGCAGGGGAAAUAUAAGCAGAGAGCUUGGACAUUUAGUUGAUGGUCUGUGAUACUGCAUGUCAAUUGCCCCUCCCCUCUCUUUCAUGCAAAGUGUUGCUGGAAAUGUUCUCUGCCUCUGCUUUCCAAAAUGGCAGCCAUUAAUCACACGUAGCUAUUGAGUACUUGAAGUGUGGCCAGUCCACCUGAGGAGAUGAACUUGGAAUUUCAUUUAAAGAAUAACAUGUGAAGGGCCGGGGAUUUAGC